AGUGAACGCUGGCGGUAGGCCUAACACAUGCAAGUCGAACGGCAGCACAGUAAGAGCUUGCUCUUACGGGUGGCGAGUGGCGGACGGGUGAGGAAUACAUCGGAAUCUACUUUUUCGUGGGGGAUAACGUAGGGAAACUUACGCUAAUACCGCAUACGACCUACGGGUGAAAGCAGGGAAUCUUCGGACCUUGCGCGAUUGAAUGAGCCGAUGUCGGAUUAGCUAGUUGGCGGGGUAAAGGCCCACCAAGGCGACGAUCCGUAGCUGGUCUGAGAGGAUGAUCAGCGACACUGGAACUGAGACACGGUCCAGACUACUACGGGAGGCAGCAGUGGGGAAUAGUGGACAAUGGGCGCAAGCCUGAUCCAGCGAUACCGCGUGGGUGAAGAAGGCCUUGGGGUUGUAAAGCCCUUUUGUUGGGAAAGAAAAGCAGCAGGUUAAUACCCCGCUGUUCUGACGGUACCCAAAGAAUAAGCACCGGCUAACUUCGUG
rnacentral:rRNA from 1 species